AUUAUAAAGACAAUUUGUUCUGAUGAUCACUGUUCAAUGAAUAUGAGAUUUAAAGGAGUCCCAUUCUGCACUUGUUUUUGUUCGUUUUCGCAAGUGUGAAUGGUGGCAUUCAGAUAGGGACUUCUGUGACAUAUGUAGCAGAACUCUCAAUCCAUUUUGAGCAUAAAUUUGACUUAAAAUGUAGCAGGUUCGACAGUUGGGUCCAAUAGAUUUUUGAAAGUGAUACUUUUUUGUAAUUUUGUCUCUGUACACCACCACAAUGGAGCCGAGGAGCUGAAAUGAUACAACGAUUUAAUGGCAGACUUUCAGCUUUAACUCAAAGGCUUUCAUAAAAAUGUUUUAUUCAUUAAGGAAUACCAGCAAAUUUAUAUACACAGUCGCUCCAUUUUCAGUGAGUGUGACUUAUUUAACGAACUACCAAAAAUAAGGAUUACUGUUAUUGCUUGGAACGUGCACCUCUGCCACGAUGCACACCUGAGCCCUUUAAAUGUCAGAAGUGAAGCAGAGUAGUCCUGAUUAGUACUUGGCUGACAGACUGCUUGGGAAGACCAGGAGCUGUGUGUGGUUCUCCAUGUAGGACUGGAGUUAUGCCAGAAAAGGCAUCCGGCAAAAA